GGCGAUCAGAUACCGCCCUAGUUCUGACCAUAAACGAUGCCAACUAGCGAUCUGCCGGUGGAAUUUUUGCCCUGGUAGGGAGCUUCCCGGAAACGAAAGUCUUCCGGUUCCGGGGGAAGUAUGGUUGCAAAGCUGAAACUUAAAGGAAUUGACGGAAGGGCACCACCAGGAGUGGAGCCUGCGGCUUAAUUUGACUCAACACGGGAAAACUCACCCGGCCCGGACACCGUGAGGAUUGACAGAUUGAUAGCUUUUUCAUGAUUCGGUGGAUGGUGGUGCAUGGCCGUUCUUAGUUCGUGGAGCGAUUUGUCUGGUUUAUUCCGAUAACGAGCGAGACUCUAUCCUACUAAAUAGUGUGCCCAUUGCCUCUGUGGGUGGCACUUCUUAGAGGGAUUUUCGGUGUACAGCCGCACGAAAAAGAGCAAUAACAGGUCUGUGAUGCCCUUAGAUGUCCGGGGCUGCACGCGCGCUACACUGGCGAAAUCAGCGUGCCUGUCCUUUCUCGAAAGAAAUUGGUAAACCAAUCAAAAUUUGCCGUGAUUGGGAUCGGAAAUUGCAAUUAUUUUCCGUGAACGAGGAAUUCCAAGUAAAUGCGAGUCAUCAACUCGCGUUGAUUACGUCCCUGCCCUUUGUA
rnacentral:rRNA from 1 species